ACUAAAUAGAUACCCCGGUAGUCCACGCCGUAAACGAUGGAUACUAGCUGUUCGGAGCAAUCUGAGUGGCUAAAGCGAAAAGUGAUAAGUAUCCCACCUGGGGAGUACGCACGCAAGUGUGAAACUCAAAGGAAUUGACGGGGGCCCGCACAAGCGGUGGAGCAUGUGGUUUAAUUCGAUGAUACGCGAGGAACCUUACCAGGGCUUAAAUGUAGAUUGACAGGACUGGAAACAGUUUUUCUUCGGACAAUUUACAAGGUGCUGCAUGGUUGUCGUCAGCUCGUGCCGUGAGGUGUCAGGUUAAGUCCUAUAACGAGCGCAACCCCUGUCGUUAGUUGCCAGCGAGUCAUGUCGGGAACUCUAACGAGACUGCCAGUGUAAACUGUGAGGAAGGUGGGGAUGACGUCAAAUCAUCACGGCCCUUACGUCCUGGGCCACACACGUGCUACAAUGGUAGGUACAGAGAGCAGCCACUGCGCGAGCAGGAGCGAAUCUACAAAACCUAUCUCAGUUCGG
rnacentral:rRNA from 1 species